rnacentral:rRNA from 1 species
UACGUAGGGGGCAAGCGUUAUCCGGAUUUACUGGGUGUAAAGGGAGCGCAGGUGGCAAGGCAAGCCAGAAGUGAAAACCCGGGGCUUAACCCCGCGGAUUGCUUUUGGAACUGUCUGGCUGGAGUGCAGGAGGGGCAGGCGGAAUUCCUGGUGUAGCGGUGAAAUGCGUAGAUAUCAGGAGGAACACCAGAGGCGAAGGCGGCUAACUGGACUGUAACUGACGCUGAGGCACGAAAGUGUGGGGAGCAAACAGG